ACCGUGAGGGAAAGGUGAAAAGAACCGCGGGAGCGGAGUGAAAGAGAACCUGAAACCGUAUGCCUACAAGAAGUCAGAGCCCGUUAAGGGGUGAUGGCGUGCCUUUUGUAGAAUGAACCGGCGAGUUGCGACAGACUGCGAGGUUAAGGAGGAAAGACCGGAGCCGAAGCGAAAGCGAGUCUUAAGAGGGCGAAAGUAGGAUGUUGCAGACCCGAAACCGGGUGAUCUAGCCAUGAGCAGGUUGAAGUUGAGGUGAAACUCAAUGGAGGACCGAACCGACUACCGUUGAAAAGUUAGCGGAUGACUUGUGGCUAGGGGAGAAAUUCCAAUCGAACCCGGAGAUAGCUGGUUCUCCCCGAAAUAGCUUUAGGGCUAGCGUCGGAAAGAACCUUAGUGAAGGUAGAGCACUGAAUGUGUGAUGGCCCCAUCCCGGGGUACUGAAUACAAUCAAACUGCGAAUGUCAUUAAGGAUGUCCGGCAGUCAGACUGUGAGUGAUAAGGUCCAUGGUCAAGAGGGAAACAGCCCAGACCGCCAGUUAAGGUCCCAAAAUACAGGCUAAGUGGAAAAGGAUGUGGGGAUGCCCAGACAACUAGGAGGUUGGCUCAGAAGCAGCCAUCCUUUAAAGAGUGCGUAACAGCUCACUAGUCGAGUGACCCUGCGCCGAAAAUGUACCGGGGCUAAGCCUGAUACCGAAACUGCGGAUUGUAGGAAACUAUAGUGGUAGGGGAGCGUUGUAUACGAGCAGAAGCCGUACCGUGAGGAGCGGUGGAUUGUAUAGAAGUGAGAAUGCCGGUGUGAGUAGCGAGAUGUAGGUGAGAAUCCUACACACCGAAAGCCCAAGGAUUCCAGGGGAAGGUUCGUCCGCCCUGGGUAAGUCGGGACCUAACGCGAGGCCGAAAGGCGUAGUGGAUGGAAAGCAGGCGAAAGAUUCCUGCACCCGUAUAUGGAGCGAAGGAGUGACGGAGACGGAUAGUGUGACCCUCUUAAUGGAUUGAGGGCGAAGCGAAGCGGCUGGUUACCAGGCAAAUCCGGUAACCAAAAGGCUAGAGCGUGACAGGUAAGCGAAAUCUUAGGAAAGUAGCGAAGCACAUGAUGACGGCUUCCAGGAAAAGCUUCUGGCAAUGCAUAUGCGGCCCGUACCAAAACCGACACAGGUGGGCAGGGAGAGAAUCCCGAGGUGAGCGAGAGAACUGUUGCCAAGGAACUCGGCAAAAUGACUCCGUAAGUUAGCGAGAAGGAGUGCUUAAGCAAUUAAGCCGCAGUGAAGAGGCCCAAGCGACUGUUUAACUAAAACACAGCUCUCUGCGAAGUCGCAAGACGAAGUAUAGGGGGUGACACCUGCCCGGUGCUGGAAGGUUAAGAGGAUCUGUUAAGAGCGAUCUGAAGCAGUGAUCCGAAGCCCCAGUGAACGGCGGCCGUAACUAUAACGGUCCUAAGGUAGCGAAAUUCCUUGUCAGGUAAGUUCUGACCCGCACGAAAGGUGUAACGAUUUGGGCGCUGUCUCGGCAGCAGACUCGGUGAAAUCUUAGUACCUGUGAAAAUGCAGGUUACCCGCAACUAGACGGAAAGACCCCAUGGAGCUUUACUGCAGCCUGAUAUUGAAUUCUGGUCAUACAUGUACAGGAUAGGUGGGAGACAAAGAGACGUGCACGCCAGUGUACGAGGAGUCGUCGUUGGGAUACCACUCUUGUGUGACCGGGGUUCUAACCUGGUAUCGAGAACAGGUACGGGGAGAGUGUCAGGUGGGCAGUUUGACUGGGGCGGUCGCCUCCCAAAGAGUAACGGAGGCGCCCAAAGGUACGCUCAGAUUGGAUGGAAACCAAUCGUCGAGUGCAAUUGCAGAAGCGUGCUUGACUGUGAGACAAACAAGUCGAACAGGGACGAAAGUCGGGAAUAGUGAUCCGGCGGUGCCGAAUGGAAGGGCCGUCGCUCAACGGAUAAAAGCUACCCUGGGGAUAACAGGCUGAUCUCGCCCAAGAGUUCACAUCGACGGCGAGGUUUGGCACCUCGAUGUCGGCUCAUCGCAUCCUGGAGCUGGAUUCGGUUCCAAGGGUUGGGCUGUCCGCCCAUUAAAGCGGUACGCGAGCUGGGUUCAGAACGUCGUGAGACAGUUCGGUCCCUAUCUGUUGUGGGCGAAGGAGAUCUGCGGAGAGCUGUCCUCAGUACGAGAGGACCGGGAUGGACCUACCGCUGGUGCACCGGUUGUUCCGCCAGGGGCAUAGCCGGGUAGCUAAGUAGGGAAAGGAUAAGCGCUGAAAGCAUCUAAGCACGAAGCCUACUCCAAGAUGAGAUCUCCCAUUCG
rnacentral:rRNA from 1 species